rnacentral:rRNA from 1 species
UUACCAGCUUGCUGGUAUGAUUAGUGGCGAACGGGUGAGUAAUGCUUAGGAAUCUGCCUAUUAGUGGGGGACAACAUUCCGAAAGGAAUGCUAAUACCGCAUACGUCCUAUGGGAGAAAGCAGGGGAUCGCAAGACCUUGCGCUAAUAGAUGAGCCUAAGUCGGAUUAGCUAGUUGGUGGGGUAAAGGCCUACCAAGGCGACGAUCUGUAGCUGGUCUGAGAGGAUGAUCAGCCACACUGGGACUGAGACACGGCCCAGACUCCUACGGGAGGCAGCAGUGGGGAAUAUUGGACAAUGGGCGAAAGCCUGAUCCAGCCAUGCCGCGUGUGUGAAGAAGGCCUUUUGGUUGUAAAGCACUUUAAGUGGGGAGGAAAAGCUAAUAAUUAAUACCUAUUAGCCCUGACGUUACCCACAGAAUAAGCACCGGCUAACUCUGUGCCAGCAGCCGCGGUAAUACAGAGGGUGCAAGCGUUAAUCGGAAUUACUGGGCGUAAAGCGAGCGUAGGUGGUCAUUUAAGUCAGAUGUGAAAUCCCCGGGCUUAACCUGGGAACUGCAUCUGAUACUGGGUGACUAGAGUAGGUGAGAGGGAAGUAGAAUUCCAGGUGUAGCGGUGAAAUGCGUAGAGAUCUGGAGGAAUACCGAUGGCGAAGGCAGCUUCCUGGCAUCAUACUGACACUGAGGUUCGAAAGCGUGGGUAGCAAACAGGAUUAGAUACCCUGGUAGUCCACGCCGUAAACGAUGUCUACCAGUCGUUGGGUCUCUUGAAGACUUAGUGACGCAGUUAACGCGAUAAGUAGACCGCCUGGGGAGUACGGCCGCAAGGUUAAAACUCAAAUGAAUUGACGGGGGCCCGCACAAGCGGUGGAGCAUGUGGUUUAAUUCGAUGCAACGCGAAGAA